CCCGGGCCGAGCGGCGGGCCCGCGCCCGCCGCACUCCUCGUUCCCAGUCAUUUUCUAAUGAAAAAGCCUUGGCUUCUUUGAAAAUCCAAAGGGCGCCGGACGCUAGCGGAGAAGAGCCCCAACAAGACGGCGAAUGCAGAAAGUAAAAGGCCGGCGUCCCUCCAACCCGUCCUUCGCAAAUCUCUCCAGAGAGAUCCAGCCUUUACAGAUCGGAAGCUUCUUGUACAUGGCAGGGCUACAUACCUGGUUCUGGCUGGUGAAAUAUGAGCAAAGGUGACAUGUGACACUUUGGGGUGAGGCAGUGACAAACCCAAGCGUGGUUCUCUGCGUUCUCUUCCCUUGCUUUGGUGAUCGUGGGAGCAUGAGGCAUCACGGGAUGAAGGCAAGCCUAUUGCUGAGCCACACGUGGAGGACAACUGUCUCCAACACUCACCCAGAUACACAGCUGAGUUCAGCCAGCCAGUUGAAGACGGAUCUAGUUUCUUUGGAGACUUGUUUGGUUUGAGUGUUCUUCCUCCACCUCUGUCCGCUGAAAAUCAACACAUCCUGAAGUUGGAGAUGUGGGAAGACCCUGAACUCACCUCCUGCCGUGGACACACCAAAUCCAUAGCUACAUCUAGAACAGUUGUCUCUGAAAAAGACCUGAAAGCUAGCUGCGUAGCUCCUCCACAGCAAUGGAUAAAAAGGCCACACUGAGAUGGAUAGAAAAGACAGAGAUAUGGUCUUGCUAAAGACCCCACUCCCAGUGCAGUGACCCAUAAGCACAAGGGUGCCCACCCAUAUGCACAAAUAUGGUGCAUAUCCUUGAGAAGAGAAUUUGACCCCCACACUAGGCACCCCAACCCUUUGCUGAACAUCUGGCUUUGAAAACCAGUGAGACUUAUAUCCAGGAGACCCAAGAGGUUGUAGGAAACUGAGACUCUGCUCCUGAAGAACUCAGACACAGACCCACUUGUCCUGGGACUCCGUACAAAAGUAGCAGGUUGGAAAAUGCCUAGACCAUAUGUGAAGGAGAUUCAUUGGCUAAGCUUAAAGUAUCUGCCAGAGGGCCAGGGGUCUGUUGGAACUCUCUCUGGGGAGGGAGGCUCUGGUGGGUUCCAUUUUUGCACUCUCUCUUCUACUUUGCUAGUGGACACCAUUUUUGCACUCUACCUUUAUCUUGCAAGUGCCAUUUCCCCUUGCCCAGUUCUGUCCUGUGGUCCCACCCUUCCAAAGUUGGUGGGCUGGCUCACCCUGACCCAGUACACCCCUGUGUGAGGCUGCUCCACCAACCUGGUGGGCAGAUGUGGCCCCACCACUGCUGACAAGUGCAUGCAGUCCACACAGGGGAUGUCCCUUGAAUGCUUGGCUCUGAUGGCCAAGGGGGCUUGCAUUUCUGGGCCCCAUGGGACUGAAGCAACUGGAGAGACACUUUUGGGCAAGGGAGCACCACAGGGCACUGAACAGACAGCAGACUGAAACAUAUUCCCAGUCUUCCUGUGAUCACUCCUUUAAGACUGGGAGAGACAGCCAUUUCACCUAAUGCAUAGAAACAGCAAAAUGAGGAAACAGGAAGAUGUUCCAAAUGAAAGAAUAAGAUAAAACUCCAGAAAAAACCUUAAUGAAAUGGAGAUAAGUAAUUUACAUGGUAAAGAGUUCAGAGUAAUGGUCAUAGAGAUGCUCAUUGAUCUUGGGAGAAUGAACACAGAGAGAACUUCAACAAAGAGACGGAAAAUAGAAGAAAGUAGGAAACAUAAAUCUCAGAGCUGAGGAAUACAAUAACUGAAAUGAAAAAUACAUUGGUGGGAUGCAACAGCAGACUAGAUGAAACAGAAUAUGGGAUCAGUGACCUGGAAGGCAGGGCAGUGGAACUCACCCAAAACGGAGCAAUAAAAAGAAAAAAAGAAUUAAGAAAAGUGAAGAUAGCUUAAGGGACAUAUAAACAACAUCAAAUGAAACCACAUUUGCAUAAUAGGGGCCCAGAAGGAGAAGAGACAGAAAGAGACAGGACACUUAUUUGAAGAAAUGAUGUCUGCAAACUUUCUUAACCUGGGGAAGAAAACAAGACGUCCAGAUCCAGGAAGCCCAGAGUUCCAAAUAAAAUGAACCCAAAGAGAACCAUACUAAGACACAUCAUUAAAAUGUCAAAGUUAAAGAAUCUUAAAAGCAAAAAGAGAAAAACAACUUAUAACAUACAAGGGAACCCAAUAAAAUAAUCAGAUUUUUUAGCAGAAACUUUGUAGGCCAGAAGGGAGUGACAUGAUGUAUUCAAAGUGCUGAAAGCAAGACUUACAAUCAAGAAUACUCUACCCAGCAAGGUUAUCAUUCAGAAUUGAAGGAGAGAAAAAAGUUUUCCAGAUAAAGACCCAAGGAGCAUAUCAUCACUAAAGCAGCCUUAUAGGAAAUGUUAAAGGGACUUAUUUAAACUGAAAAGAAAGGGCAGUAAGUAGUAACAAAAAAUAUAUAUAUGAAAGUAAAAAUCUCACUGGCAAAGGUAAAGUAUAUAGUAAAGAUAGUGGACUAAUCACUUAUAAAGCUAGCAUACAAAAGUAAUAAAAAUAACUAUAGCUACAGGGGUGCCUGGGUGGCUCAGUCAGUUAA